AGAACCCCGGCGAGGGGAGUGAAAAAGAACCUGAAACCGUGUACGUACAAGCAGUGGGAGCCCCACCACCAAAGCAUUCUCUGGUGUUGAAGGCCCUGCAAAGCAGCAUCGCGGUGGCGGAGCGUCGUUUGCGACGCCCAACACACAAAACAAGCGGUGAAUGCUUUGGGGUGGGGUGACUGCGUACCUUUUGUAUAAUGGGUCAGCGACUUAUAUUCUGUAGCAAGGUUAACCGUAUAGGGGAGCCGGAGGGAAACCGAGUCUUAAUUGGGCGUUAAGUUGCAGGGUAUAGACCCGAAACCCGGUGAUCUAGCCAUGGGCAGGUUGAAGGUUGGGUAACACUAACUGGAGGACCGAACCGACUAAUGUUGAAAAAUUAGCGGAUGACCUGUGGCUGGGGGUGAAAGGCCAAUCAAACCGGGAGAUAGCUGGUUCUCCCCGAAAGCUAUUUAGGUAGCGCCUCGUGAAUUCAUCUCCGGGGGUAGAGCACUGUUUCGGCUAGGGGGCCAUCCCGGCUUACCAACCCGAUGCAAACUGCGAAUACCGGAGAAUGUUAUCACGGGAGACACACGGCGGGUGCUAACGUCCGUCGUGAAGAGGGAAACAACCCAGACCGCCAGCUAAGGUCCCAAAGUCAUGGUUAAGUGGGAAACGAUGUGGGAAGGCCCAGACAGCCAGGAUGUUGGCUUAGAAGCAGCCAUCAUUUAAAGAAAGCGUAAUAGCUCACUGGUCGAGUCGGCCUGCGCGGAAGAUGUAACGGGGCUAAACCAUGCACCGAAGCUGCGGCAGCGAACGUAUCACCCAAGACAACUUUACGGAGUUGACGAUUGACGGAGCGAAGCGACGUCAAAGCGUUCAUUAAAGUCGAGUUGGCUUAGGGAUACGUUCGUUGGGUAGGGGAGCGUUCUGUAAGCCUGUGAAGGUGUGUCGUGAGGCAUGCUGGAGGUAUCAGAAGUGCGAAUGCUGACAUAAGUAACGAUAAAGCGGGUGAAAAGCCCGCUCGCCGGAAGACCAAGGGUUCCUGUCCAACGUUAAUCGGGGCAGGGUGAGUCGACCCCUAAGGCGAGGCCGAAAGGCGUAGUCGAUGGGAAACGGGUUAAUAUUCCCGUACUUGGUGUUACUGCGAAGGGGGGACGGAGAAGGCUAUGUUGGCCGGGCGACGGUUGUCCCGGUUUAAGCGUGUAGGUGUGUGUUCCAGGUAAAUCCGGUUCACUUUAACACUGAGGCGUGACGACGAGGCACUACGGUGCUGAAGCAACAAAUGCCCUGCUUCCAGGAAAAGCCUCUAAGCAUCAGGUAACAUCAAAUCGUACCCCAAACCGACACAGGUGGUCAGGUAGAGAAUACCAAGGCGCUUGAGAGAACUCGGGUGAAGGAACUAGGCAAAAUGGUGCCGUAACUUCGGGAGAAGGCACGCUGACACGUAGGUGAAGUGAUUUACUCAUGGAGCUGAAGUCAGUCGAAGAUACCAGCUGGCUGCAACUGUUUAUUAAAAACACAGCACUGUGCAAACACGAAAGUGGACGUAUACGGUGUGACGCCUGCCCGGUGCCGGAAGGUUAAUUGAUGGGGUCAGCGCAAGCGAAGCUCCUGAUCGAAGCCCCGGUAAACGGCGGCCGUAACUAUAACGGUCCUAAGGUAGCGAAAUUCCUUGUCGGGUAAGUUCCGACCUGCACGAAUGGCGUAAUGAUGGCCAGGCUGUCUCCACCCGAGACUCAGUGAAAUUGAACUCGCUGUGAAGAUGCAGUGUACCCGCGGCAAGACGGAAAGACCCCGUGAACCUUUACUAUAGCUUGACACUGAACAUUGAGCCUUGAUGUGUAGGAUAGGUGGGAGGCUUUGAAGUGUGGACGCCAGUCUGCAUGGAGCCGACCUUGAAAUACCACCCUUUAAUGUUUGAUGUUCUAACGUGGACCCGUUACCCGGGUUGCGGACAGUGUCUGGUGGGUAGUUUGACUGGGGCGGUCUCCUCCUAAAGAGUAACGGAGGAGCACGAAGGUUGGCUAAUCCUGGUCGGACAUCAGGAGGUUAGUGCAAUGGCAUAAGCCAGCUUGACUGCGAGCGUGACGGCGCGAGCAGGUGCGAAAGCAGGUCAUAGUGAUCCGGUGGUUCUGAAUGGAAGGGCCAUCGCUCAACGGAUAAAAGGUACUCCGGGGAUAACAGGCUGAUACCGCCCAAGAGUUCAUAUCGACGGCGGUGUUUGGCACCUCGAUGUCGGCUCAUCACAUCCUGGGGCUGAAGUAGGUCCCAAGGGUAUGGCUGUUCGCCAUUUAAAGUGGUACGCGAGCUGGGUUUAGAACGUCGUGAGACAGUUCGGUCCCUAUCUGCCGUGGGCGCUGGAGAACUGAGGGGGGCUGCUCCUAGUACGAGAGGACCGGAGUGGACGCAUCACUGGUGUUCGGGUUGUCAUGCCAAUGGCACUGCCCGGUAGCUAAAUGCGGAAGAGAUAAGUGCUGAAAGCAUCUAAGCACGAAACUUGCCCCGAGAUGAGUUCU
rnacentral:rRNA from 1 species